CCGCCUCCCCACGCAGGCGCAGUGUGCUUUCACCUGGUCAGAUAUGUUCAAGCUCAAGCUCAAACUGUAACAAUGGCGGAGACGCAACGGAGCCUAAAAUGGCCGACCAUUGCCCUCGACUAAGAGAAACAAGAUGACUGAUGAAGAAAAGCAGUGUAAAAACAAAGAAUUGGACGAACGAGGAUAAAUAUCGAAGUCAUUUCCGAGGUGGAGGAGCUGCAGGAUUUGUAAGGAGUCAAGAGGAACACAGAGUUAGCUGCUUUUCUGCUGGACAGGACGUGUUGUGGAUGAAGUAAUGGCGGCUGAGCUGCUCUCCCUCCUCGGUUCUGGAUGUUUCUCUCUUCAGUCUAGAAGUUGGGAGUUUGCUGUCCUCCCCCGGGACACCAGAGACCACUGCUUCACUUCAACAAGCUAAGAGCCAGGUUUGGGAAAAGGAAGAAGAAUAGGACAUCUCUGGUUCUGCUGCCCAUGAUGAGUCAGUGUGACAGGAGCGUGACGACAGACCAGUGGACGGCUUUCCUACAGGAUUACACAACAAACUACUAAACAGACUUCCAUAAAACUUGGAUGGAGGAUGGAUCACAGCCCAGAACAGACCGCAUCAACUGUUGGUGUGGAUCUGGAUGAAGGGAUGGAUCCAGCUGCGCCUACGAUCACUCGCCCAUCUCAAGACAACGUCCAGCACUCUGACUACGAAAACUUCUGAAAGAGCGCAGCAGGAACAGUGGAAGAUAAUUGAAUUCUCCUCAGUACGACAGCAUCCACUCGCAGGGAAACUCUGAAUAGUGAUGAACGAGCUAGAUGAGGCAUCAAGGCUAACAGCGGUGUGUGCUCUAAACUAUUUGUUGUUCUACAAAGCUUUUUCAGAUGUGUCAAUAAUGAAAUCGAGGUGACAUCAGCGUGUGACGGAGCAUCUGAAUAUUGUUGAGAUAAUAACACCUGCUCUCAAAGCAGCUGAGAGGAGCACCACUGUGCACGAGGAUUCUGCAGCCGCUGAUGCUGAGAGAAAACUUUUCUGUGAACAAUGGCUCGUAUCCAGGUGGCAUCCAUUACAAUCACAAGUCACUGAGAAAAUCAAGCAGCCCGGAGCAUGCAGAUUUCUCCUCAUGUUGUUUCACUGUUCUAGUCAGUUUUCUGUUUGAAUCCAGAGAUGAAACACACACUGAUCCCUGUCAGAACACACAGUACAGUCAGCGAGAUGAAACCAGAAAACUUUCUCCCGUCGUCUGUUUACUGAGGCCUUAACCACGAGUGAUCCCUCCACCCUCGCCUCCUCCUGCCCCUUUAAAAGCACUCCUGUUUUAUUUAUGGAAAGAAAGAGGAGGCUCAGCAGAAUCGCUGGACUCAACUCUGCUGAAACUGUCCCAUCUUUGCCCCGCGGCGCCCGCCCCCCACCUUCUGCCCUGGCGUUUCCAUCUCUGUCUCCAGGGCUCUGGGAGCUGCCACCGCUCACAAUACAUCAAGACAGCACAGCGUGACAACUGGGUUACCCAAAUCAGAGGUCACUGAUUGCAAUCUUUAAGAGCAACUAGAUGUGUCACUGCCGCAACACCUGACUGAAUCUGAAAUGGAUAUCUGUGCAGCGGCUCUGCCCGGGAUGAUGCGGACAGACCUGAGGCUCAGAGAACAGACCUCUACUGAUAUUCUGGAGUUCAGGAUAAAAUAUUCUCUCUCUGACUGUCACACUGAAGAGCUGAGCAGACUAAAGAAGUUUAACUUCAUGGUUGACCUUGAAAACAGCAGCUGGGAACAUCCUUAAUAUCAAUUUACUAUCUGAUGAGGAUGAUGUAAUAUGAUCCUCAUCAGAAGACGACUCAAAGACUCAUCCUGUCUUUUGUGAUUGUGCCAUGCAGCUGAUACUGUAAGCAGGGGCAGCCUCUGACUUUGACUUUCUCUCAGCUCUUCCUGCUUUCUUGUGCUUUUUGCAGGUAGAGAUGGGUUGUUUUGACAGAGGCAGGACAUUUUAAACAGCAUGUAAAAACAUCCAACAGACAAAUGAGCAGGUCAUUCACUCUGUUGAAUCCUCCUUUCUAGAUUAUGAAUAAACAAAUGAAUGACUUGUGACAACCAGAAGUUGAACCUUUUCUACCCGAAGAAGAAAACAACAGAAGACAUUUGUGUUUACUUCUUCUUGAUUUGAGGUCAUUUUAUAAUAAUUUGUUUUUUGUUCUGGAAUAAAUGAUCAUCAGCUCAUAAUCACAGCUGUGCGAUCAGCUAUACUGACUUAUCAAAUCAGUGAUUACAGAGAAAGAGGACAGCUGUAAAGCAUCUGUGACUUGAUGGAGAUGUGUGUUGACCCUGUUCUGAACGUUGUGUUCAGGGUUUGAGGAAACCAGUGUUGAGGGGAAACUGAACUGUGGCCUUCAGUGUCAUCGAUGCUUAGUGAGUUUUUUAAUGCAGGAACAUCUUCUUGCAUCUCUGGGACCCGCGGCAACAAGAAGUCCAGCUCCGUCUCUCUACAACAGUUUCUUUGGAAACUUUACUUAGUUUGAGGACAGUUUGGUAACUUCCAGCAUGUUUGGUAACAGCUCAAGACAGAUUCUCUCCCUUCAUUCCGUCUCUGUCACCAGUGUUUCCUCUCUGGAUGCAGGUGGAAUUCUCUCCCUCCCAUCUUUCAUCAGGACCCCUGCUCUUCCUCAUGUCUCAGUCUUUGAUGUAUGGCGCUCCACCCCUCCUCGCUCACCUUGAAGGGGAUCAUUAUCAUCCAGGAGACUUUACUCCAACCUCACCACAAGCACCCAACUCAACCCUCCCACUUUCAUCUCCUCCGCUGGGUUCAGACAGAAGCCUCCAGAGUCUCUGAAAAUCCCAGUUAAAGAAACUCUGCCUCUGUGCCACCUGCUACCAGAAACUACAAUACCAGCAAGCUGGACCACUUCCAGUUCAGUGGGCUUUUGUUCUAACUCAUGACUCAUCUUGACUCCUGCAUUGUAUUUACAGCAUGGCGUAGCAAUGUUAUAAGCUGGAGCUCAUAUUGAAUCACUACAGUGCAUGCAUUAUGCAAGAAAGUGGGGCUGUAGAUGGGAACAGAAUUGUAAAUUCCCUUUUAAGGCUUAACUUAUUUAUGAGACAUGCUGUUUUUGUUUUUUAGUCAUUUCAAUAUCCAGAUUUUAUAAUCCGAUUUUAAGCUGCCACCCAGCCAGAUGAGAGUGAGAUGGAAGUAGAAAGCCAGACAGAGAGGAGAGGUGAUAGCAAGGAGGGAGGCUUUGUUCACUUCUCAAAUCUGAUCCCAGUAGAGUUGAUUACACACUGCUUACUCCUUCAGUGGCAGGUCGUGUUGAUGACAUGAUAGAGGACAGCGACCCAGCCGCUGAACACACCUGGGCAGAGACAUCAAAUCAACACCCUGCAGCAGGUCUAUAUUUGGACCAGCAGACAGACCGGGAACAUUGUUUUUCCACAGUUGGACUGUACGCUGACAGACUGGGGAUUCACAGUCGGCAUGGAAACACUUUUCAGAUGUAGAGUUGAGGCAUGAAGUGGAUUUAAAGACUUAAUAUGUCGGACUGAAGCGCAGUGGCAAAAACAAGGGAGUCCAAUAUUUUAAAGCAUAUAACUCUUACAAAAAAAAAUGCAGUCUUGCCAUGAUGCAUUAUCUGGAUAAACUGUGCUGAUGCUCAGAGUUUAAACUAGUCAUGCUGGCUCACAGUGUGGGCAGGUUAGCUAGCCUGAGUCAGUGGACAUGAACUGCUGGGAUAAGCUUCCCGUUUACUGACACCGAACUCUGAUUCACUCUGCCCUCCUCUCUCUGGGCGCUUUGCUUACAUUUCCAUGGAGAAAAAUAUUUGCUGCCUGAAAGAGAGACAUUAUCUUACAUGUUCUAAUGGUUUUACUGUCUUUUGAUUUAGCAAGAUUCAUCCAAGCACACUUUCUGGACAGGCAGGCAGAGCACAGCGAUGACAGAUUCAAGAAAUUCAGAUAUCACACAACUCGACACCUCAGCAUCCACACAUAUGGUUUAUGAUGUCUUGAUGAACCUUUAAUGUGCAGAACUCUACUAUCAUCUGCUGUUUACAUUCACCCAGAGGAGAAUGUGAUUCUUUGCAGCAUGAAGGAGUUACAAACCUUCAUUUUGUUAUGCAAGCCUGUGUUGUGUCAUGACGAAUAAAGAACUGCUAAUUGAAACGUGGCUCCUACUGACGACCAUGCGAUACAUUUGAAAGCUUGAGAAGAAGCAAGAAGUGCACCAUGAGCUGAUUAAAUGUUAUCAGCUCAGGACAGUUUAUCAUUUGGAUCCGUUAAUAACUCUGCCAGCCUGCCGUGUUGGCACAGACAUCCUAGAGAGGAAAUCAGUCCCUCGAGCACUAAUCAGCUGUCCUGCUAACUGUAGGAGACCAGUGACAUUUACAUUUUACCAAAGUAGCUUCUUUGAAAUCAGAAAAAAGUUGCCUUCUUCCAGAGCAGCACAUCAAUGUUAACAUUUACAUUCACGUUCAUGACUUUCCUCAGAGAAGUUCAGCCUUCUGAGAAACGUGAAUACAGUUCCAGUCUGCCAUGAGUCUGUUUGGUCGUCUUUAGGAGUACAAGAACCUAUUCAGCUUUAUGUACCAGCUGGUAUUAUAUUACAGACAUUAAUGCACCCCAACAGUCUCCAACUCAGAGUAUAAAGUGGGUCCUUAUACUGACCAGCAGUAACGCUGAUUACCACGAUGCCUCCUGAGACCUGCUUUUCAUACCACAGUGGGGUCACCACUGGGUUAGAGGACUCUAUUAUCAUCUAUCCAGCCACUCGACCCGUAGCUGGGAACCAUAAAGACUUGAAUUCCCAUAGAUCUGCUGCCCUGGAUAUGGCAUACGCAACAGCCUGUAUUGAUCUGGUCGUAAAACAUUCAGCUUCACAAACAAGGAUGGAAACAAGAGUGUUCUGUCACAACGUUCACCUGCCACGAUUUCAGCCCUAACACAGAUCAUUUUUAGAGUUUUACAACAUCCCAUAAUGAUGUCUGGUUUUGUUCCAGUGAAACUGAACUCCUGCCAAAUACUGAGCAGCAUUCUGCCAUUAUGUGUGCUGUUAAUUUCCUAAUCCGCUCCAAUAGUCUCCUUAUGAAGAUGUAAAAAUAAGAGGCUAAUUUGGGAUUUUCUGACCCUUGUAACCUUGCAAGAUGGAACAUUUCUGCUUUAUGAAAUAUGUAAAAAUAUCCUGACAUAUUUCCAUUUGUCUUGCUCUUUGUUUAAGAUUAUUGUGAUCACCUCGACCAUCAGAACAGAGGCGUAAACAGGUUCAGGUCAGCUGGAUUGUAAAGCAUUUCCUCUGUGUCCUGAACAUGCAUUUUUCUUGCUGAUGGUUUGUCAGGAAUGGGAAUGUUCUCUGAUGUAUGGAGUAAUCUGCCGUAUUGGCAGCCAGCUCAGUCAUUACUGCUUUUGACAGACUCUCAUUCAAACUGAUCGAGCUUUGAGGAAAAAAGUUGCUCGACUAAAAUCGAAGAGGAGCCGUUAUGGGCACUGCACUCUAUGUGCUGACCAUUUAACUGACUUUUCCCAAUCAGGGAUACAGAACGGCCAUUUCAUCAAAACAGAGGAAUUAAAAACUACCAUUUAAAAACUGUCUUCCACUGAACUACUGAACUCCUUAAUAACGAUCAUUUAAAUCAUGUAAUUCCUUAGUUUUUGUCCUCACUGAUGUGUAUAAGGUAUAGUAACAUCAAGAUUGGUUGCAGAUUGCAAACAGUUCUGUCACGUCACCCUCACCCAGAGUGGUUUGUCCCUUCUGGGCUACUGUAGAAACACAUCAGAUUCACUGAAAGAGGACGAGCUUCUGGAGUCAGUUCUUGGCUCCAGGUGAUGAGCCUGCAGAGAAUUAUCACCCACAUCUGCUUAUCAAAGCUUCAUUAUUAAUAUCAACUAAUUGUUUAGCUGAUCAGCCUGCAACUAUCACAGUCGAUGGUCUGAGAGUGUCACUAAAAGCAGGCAGAUGGAGUUGAAAGUAGAGCUGCAGCAAUUAGUUGACUGAUU